UACGAAGGGGGCUAGCGUUGCUCGGAAUCACUGGGCGUAAAGGGUGCGUAGGCGGGUCUUUAAGUCAGGGGUGAAUCCUGGAGCUCAACUCCAGAACUGCCUUUGAUACUGAGGAUCUUGAGUACGGGAGAGGUGAGUGGAACUGCGAGUGUAGAGGUGAAAUUCGUAGAUAUUCGCAAGAACACCAGUGGCGAAGGCGGCUCACUGGCCCGUAACUGACGCUGAGGCACGAAAGCGUGGGGAGCAAACAGG
rnacentral:rRNA from 1 species